UGCCGGGCCGACAGUUCUGCGCGCCUGCGCAGUGCGGGCACUGGGACGGUCGCCCGCGCGGCAGUGCAGGCUGCGGGAAGCGGGAGGUUGGGGUGCCGCUUUUGUGUCUUACCUGCAGCCGGGUCGCGGAAGCUUGCGCGCUUGGCACGUCCCUCUUCUUUUCCGGCGGAGAGCUUGGGAUGUGGUAAUGUCAGCCAGACUGUUCAGAGCCUUGGCCGGAUCUCACUGUAUUUUAUCAAAAGUAUGUCAGUGCCGAAGACUUGUUCAUGGAACGUUAAAACCACCCAAAGAAUUGGAGACUACAACAUGCAGCACCAUGAUGAGAAGUCAAAACCUGGAUCCUCAUACGGCAGCUGGUGGUUUGAGUAAGUCCCCGGUCCUGGAAAUGAAUCAGAAAAUCUCAAAUACAAGCAUACUCUCUCCAUUAAAUGCCGUGCAUUGCCAAGAUGAAAAAGUGCACCUUCCAACCAGGAAGUCUUUUGGUACUCACAGGAAAGUGACUCACAAACCCAAUCUAUUAGGUUCUAAGUGGUUUAUAAAAAUAUUAGAGCGGCAUUACUCAUCUCCAUCAACGGAAACAUUUGUUCCUAAACAAGACUUUCCGCAAAUCAAGAGACCACUGAAAGCAUCGAGGACCAGGCAGCCAUCCAGGACCAACCUUCCAGUUCUGUCUGUGAGUGAGGACCUGAUGCACUGCACAGCGUUUGCCACUGCAGACGAAUAUCAUCUCGGGACUCUCUCUCAAGAUCUGGCCUCCCAUGGAUAUGUUGAAGUAACAAGCUUGCCUAGAGAUGCUGCGAAUAUUUUGGUGAUAGGUGUGGAACACUCUGCUAAAGAAGGUGAUCCUGGAACAAUAUUCUUCUUCAGAGAAGGAGCUGCUGUGUUCUGGAAUGUGAAAGACAAAACUAUGAAGCAUGUGAUGCAAGUCUUGGAAAAGCAUGAAAUCCAGCCCUACGAAAUCGCCCUGGUGCACUGGGAAAAUGAAGAGCUUAACUACAUAAAAACAGAGGGACAGUCGAAACUUCACAGAGGGGAAAUCAGAUUAAAUUCGGAGCUAGAUAUAGAUGACGCCGUUCUAGAGAAAUUUGCUUUCUCGAAUGCUCUUUGCCUUUCAGUGAAACUGGCUAUUUGGGAGGCAUCACUGGAUAAAUUUGUUGAGUCUAUUCAGUCAAUUCCAGAGGCUUUAAAAGCUGGGAAGAAAGUGAAACUAUCUCAUGAAGAAGUUAUGCAGAAAAUGGGUGAACUCUUUGCCCUCAGGCACCGUAUAAACUUGAGUUCAGACUUCUUGAUCACUCCCGAUUUCUACUGGGACAGAGAAAACCUGGAACAACUUUAUGAUAAAACUUGUCAGUUCCUUAGCAUUACUCGUAGAGUUAAGGUGUUUCCCGUUGCGUACUAAAUUUCACAUGUCUUCCACACAGACGUAUCUUGUAGGGUCCCUUUGCAAGUCAGUUCUGUGUGUCACUCCACACUAGAAUGUCGGCUCCCUGAGAUCAGAGACUAGCAUUAUUUUCUUCCCUGUUAUCUUCCCAGUUCUUGGCAAGGCCUCACACAGAGCACAUGCUCAGUAAGUAUUUGUAGAAUUCAUCAGUGAUUAAGAUUUCAAAACGAAACCCAUGUAUUCUCCCAGGAAACACUGAACCUUCUCUGUUCUCCAUUUCAGCUCAUGGCAGGACCACUAGCCUCCUCCAUCUGUCCGUCAACCAGAAAACUGAAAGGCAUGGUGGUUUCCUCUUUCUCCUUCACCCUCCACUGCAGUCACACCGUCCUUUCAUUUUCUUCCCAGUGUCAUUUGUUCAUUAACAGAUAUUUAUGGAAAGUCUGUAUGACAGGCCCUUGGCUGGUGAAACUGGGGGGAUACCAUAUUGACCCCUGUUCAGGCCCCCGUCUAUAACGUCCUUAUGCCACUCACCUUCUUCUCUCCCCCAGACCAUUCUCAGACCUUCCUGACUGCCCCCAGCCUCUCCACUGGACCUUUUAGCUGGAAGGCAGACAUGUGUCUGUCUUAUUCACCAUUCCAUCUCCUCUGCCCAACACAGUACAGUCAACACAACCAGUACUUGAAGACUGAACAAAGGACUCCACAUUACCUACAGAAUAAAAUUCCAACGUUGCAGCCUCAUGUAGUAAGUUUCUCUUGCUGCUGUGACAAAUUUCCCCAAACUGGCUUAACACUAAUGUAUUGUAUUACAGCUUUGUAGGUCAGAGGUCUGACAUGAGUCACUGAGCCAAAAUCAAGGUGUUGGCAGGCUGCGUUCCUUUCUGCAGGCUCUGUGUAGGAAAAGGCUCUUUCCUUCCUUUUGCAGUUGCCACAGGCUGCCCACAUUCCUUGGCUUGCAGCCUCUUCAAGUAACAGAGCAUGUGGCGGGGCAUCAGAGCCCGGAAGCUCUGCAGCUCAGCACUAAAGGCAGUGCCAGCUAACAGCAAGUGUGCAGCUGGUCACAUGGUACCGUUUGGGGGUCUGCACAGAAGAGCCUGAACAAUUCUGGAAGGUAAUCAUUGUGUAUAUCAUCUUUUUUUUUUUUUUAAAGAUUUUAUUUGACAGAGACAGCCAGCGAGAGGGAACACAAGCAGGGGGAGUGGGAGAGGAAGAAGCAGCCUCCCAGUGGAGAAACCUGAUGUGGGGCUCGAUCCCAGAACGCUGGGCUCACGCCCUGAGCUGAAGGCAGACGUUUAACGACUGCGCCACCCAGGCGCCCCUGUGUAUAUCAUCUUUUGGGCGUUUCGGCCAUAACACGUUUCAAGUUUGCCUUUCUUAACUACUGAACUCCCAAGGGCAGCUACCAAAAACUAGGACUCAAAACCUUUAGUUUCUACAUCUUCCAUCAAAAUCUUAAGAAUCUGAGAGCUUCAGUAGGUAAAGUACUUCUUGCAGGUCAGCCUGUGCAUUAGAAAGUGUCUCUAGAUGGACUCACAAGAGGCAGGUUAACAUUGGCAGGUGGCCUUGGGGAGAGAAUGGAGCAAGA